rnacentral:rRNA from 1 species
GAUGAACGCUGGCGGCGUGCCUAAUACAUGCAAGUCGAGCGAACAGACGAGGAGCUUGCUCCUCUGACGUUAGCGGCGGACGGGUGAGUAACACGUGGAUAACCUACCUAUAAGACUGGGAUAACUUCGGGAAACCGGAGCUAAUACCGGAUAAUAUAUUGAACCGCAUGGUUCAAUAGUGAAAGACGGUUUUGCUGUCACUUAUAGAUGGAUCCGCGCCGCAUUAGCUAGUUGGUAAGGUAACGGCUUACCAAGGCAACGAUGCGUAGCCGACCUGAGAGGGUGAUCGGCCACACUGGAACUUAGACACAGUCCAGGCUCCUACGGGAGGCAGCAGUAGGGAAUCUUCCGCAAUGGGCGAAAGCCUGACGGAGCAACGCCGCGUGAGUGAUGAAGGUCUUCGGAUCGUAAAACUCUGUUAUUAGGGAAGAACAAAUGUGUAAGUAACUAUGCACGUCUUGACGGUACCUAAUCAGAAAGCCACGGCUAACUACGUG